rnacentral:rRNA from 1 species
GUCGUACGAAAGUUUUGAACUUAAGUGGCGGACGGGUGAGUAACACGUAAGAAUUUGCCUUUAGGAGGGGGAUAACAACUGGAAACGGUUGCUAAUACCCCAUAUGCUUUCGAGUGAAAUGGAUUUCCGCCUAAAGAGGAGCUUGCGGCUGAUUAGCUUGUUGGUGAGGUAAUGGCUCACCAAGGCGACGAUCAGUAUCUGGUUUGAGAGGACGACCAGACACACUGGAACUGAGACACGGUCCAGACUCCUACGGGAGGCAGCAGUAGGGAAUUUUCCGCAAUGGGCGAAAGCCUGACGGAGCAAUACCGCGUGAGGGAUGAAUGCCUAUGGGUUGUAAACCUCUUUUUUCAGGGAGGAAUCAAUGACGUGUACCUGAAGAAUAAGCAUCGGCUAACUCCGUGCCAGCAGCCGCGGUAAGACGGAGGAUGCAAGUGUUAUCCGGAAUCACUGGGCGUAAAGCGUCUGUAGGUGGUUAAAUAAGUCAACUGUUAAAUCUUGAGGCUUAACCUCAAAAUCGCAGUCGAAACUAUUAGACUAGAGUAUAGUAGGGGUAAAGGGAAUUUCCAGUGGAGCGGUGAAAUGCGUAGAGAUUGGAAAGAACACCGAUGGCGAAGGCACUUUACUGGGCUAUUACUAACACUCAGAGACGAAAGCUAGGGUAGCAAAUGGGAUUAGAUACCCCAGUAGUCC